UCGGAAUGAGUGCGCUGAGACUCCCUCAAAUUCACCGGGCAACGGAAGCCCAACGUACACAAGCAUUUGUGCAAUCAGUGCAGAGCGUGUGAGGUGACUUCUGUACUUCGAUAGACCGUAGAAUAUCGGGCCGUUCUGACGACCGCAGCUAUGCACGCGACGCUUAUAUGCCUAGUCACGCUAACCGUCAUUGCUCAGGUACUUCCACAAGCCUCGAGUCUCCCUUUGCGUCUCGUUUUCCAGAGGGAGAAUUUCCGGUUUGUGACGGCAAUCGAAAGGCGAAAAUUACCGCUCCUGAGGCACUUACGAGAAUACCAACAACACUUUCGAUGUGGUUUCAGCGAAGAAAGAAGCAGAAGUGACGGCGAGAGCACCCGACCCUUUUCCAUCAAGUGAAACAUACUGCUUUCGGAACUGCCACCUGUUCUCCGUCGUUUGUGCGAUGAUAGAAAGAAGGUGGCAAGUCUACGAACAGCAUCGAACCGGUCCUAUGGAGAACGGCGAAAGUGGAAGGGCUCGCAGGAUUUCUUCCGCAAACGUGCCCAUUUUUAUCUGCAGGCAAUGGGCCGUG